rnacentral:rRNA from 1 species
GAUGAACGCUGGCGGCGUGCCUAAUACAUGCAAGUCGAGCGAACAGACGAGGAGCUUGCUCCUUUGACGUUAGCGGCGGACGGGUGAGUAACACGUGGAUAACCUACCUAUAAGACUGGGAUAACUUCGGGAAACCGGAGCUAAUACCGGAUAACAUGUUGAACCGCAUGGUUCAACAGUGAAAGACGGUCUUGCUGUCACUUAUAGAUGGAUCCGCGCCGCAUUAGCUAGUUGGUAAGGUAACGGCUUACCAAGGCAACGAUGCGUAGCCGACCUGAGACGGUGAUCGGCCACACUGGAACUGAGACACGGUCCAGACUCCUACGGGAGGCAGCAGUAGGGAAUCUUCCGCAAUGGGCGAAAGCCUGACGGAGCAACGCCGCGUGAGUGAAGAAGGUCUUCGGAUCGUAAAACUCUGUUAUUAGGGAAGAACAAAUGUGUAAGUAACUAUGCACGUCUUGACGGUACCUAAUCAGAAAGCCACGGCUAACUACGUG